ACAGUGGUAUCUCAAUGGUUAAGUCGUUGGUCUACUGAUCAAAAGAUUGUGAGUUCAAAUCCCAGUCACUGUU